UAUGGUCAUUCCAUGGCGACAGUAAAGAUGACAAAUGGAACCAAUUGUAAUGCACUUUAAAUGUAACUCAAAAAACUAUGCAAACCAGUCUACGAUGUAAACAUUUAUAAAUAUUGAUCGAGUGCGCAUUUAGCCUACAGAAAUGUGCUUAUGCAUGUGUAAUCUAAGUAAACUGCUGUGUUUUCUUAUACCAUUGGUCCUUGUGGUGAUGGUCGGUAUCAUGCUGUAUAAUCUACUGAAGAAGAACGUACACGGAUUGCCUUAAACUCCAAACUGCACUCGAGAAGCUAUAGAGUCCUUUUUAGACGAAUAUUAAUAAAAAAAAGACAACAAACGCAAUUCGGAAAUUUAUGAUACUCUAGUACCGCCUUAGAUUCGUGUUACUAAAAUAAAAUCCCCGAAGAAACAUAUUGUCCAUAUCUUUUAUAGUUGUUAAAUGGAUCUCGCUGGCAGCCGGAUAAUUGUCGACAUCUACAUAGUAACGUUUAUAAUUCAUAAGUGAAGAAUAAGUACCGCAGAGAUACAUCAUAACGUAAGCAUGAAAUGUGGGACUCUGCGCUUGGGAAAUGGAUUUUAUAACUAGUUUUAUUAUAGUUGUUAUGGAUGUUAUAUAAGUUUUAUACUUAAA